GGCUGCGUGCUUACACAUGCAAGUCGAACGCUGAAGCCUGGUGCUUGCAUUCGGUGGAUGAGGGGAAAACGGGUGAGUAACACGUGAGUAACCUUCCCCUGACUUCGGGAUAAGCCCGGGAAACUGGGUCUAAUACCGGAUACGACCGCCGGACGCAUGUCUGGUGGUGGAAAGUUUUUUCAGGUUGGGGAUGGGCUCGAGGCCUAUCAGUUUGUUGGUGAGGUAAUGGCUCACCAAGACGACGACGGGUAGCCGGCCUGAGAGGGCGACCGGCCACACUGGGACUGAGACACGGCCCAGACUCCUACGGGAGGCAGCAGUGGGGAAUAUUGCACAAUGGGGGAAACCCUGAUGCAGCGACGCAGCGUGCGGGAUGACGGCCUUCGGGUUGUAAACCGCUUUCAGCAGGGAAGAAGCGCAAGUGACGGUACCUGCAGAAGAAGUACCGGCUAACUACGUGCCAGCAGCCGCGGUAAUACGUAGGGUACGAGCGUUGUCCGGAAUUAUUGGGCGUAA
rnacentral:rRNA from 1 species